CAGAGCAUCACAAGGAGCUAAAUAAAUAAGCUGGAGCCAAAACAUCAGAAGUAGUAAUCUAAGAUUAGGAUACAAUCAUGGUUUCACUUUAAGGCCACAGUUGUCUGCUGUUCGUAAACAUGAGACAAAAAAUGUUUAUACCAAUAUUUACCAGUUUUCUGUGAGUCCUGACUGAACAAUGUUUAAAAUAUUAAAGAGCAUGUCCUCACUGGCCUGUCGGAUCUAAUCCUAUUGUUUGUAUCCGCAGGGCUACCGAGGAGUCUCGGGCAACAGGGGAGAGAACGGAGAAGACGGCCUGGAAGGAAUCGACGGCGAGCAGGGAGAGACGGGACUUGAUGGAGCUCGAGGAGAUAAAGGACACCCAGGAAACCCAGUAAUC